UGGGGAAUAUUGCGCAAUGGGCGAAAGCCUGACGCAGCAACGCCGCGUGAGUGAUGAAGGCCUUCGGGUCGUAAAGCUCUGUCGGACGGAACGAAAUGGUCAGGGUGAGUAUCCCUGACUGAUGACGGUACUGUAAGAAGAAGCACCGGCUAACUACGUGCCAGCAGCCGCGGUAAUACGUAGGGUGCGAGCGUUAAUCGGAAUUACUGGGCGUAAAGCGUGCGCAGGCGGCCGCGCAAGUCAGGUGUGAAAUCCCCGGGCUUAACCUGGGAAUUGCAUUUGAGACUGCACGGCUAGAGUGUGUCAGAGGGGGGUAGAAUUCCACGUGUAGCAGUGAAAUGCGUAGAUAUGUGGAGGAAUACCGAUGGCGAAGGCAGCCCCCUGGGAUAACACUGACGCUCAUGCACGAAAGCGUGGGAGCAAACAGGAUUAGAUACCCAGGUAGUCCCUGAGCGGGCUGGCAAGGCGCAU
rnacentral:rRNA from 1 species